UCGACCCGUCAACGGGUGAGUAAACCCGUUAGCCGCAAGGAAGCUGAUUGGUGGGAUCCUCUUGUGGGUUGCACCGCCGACCGACCUCCCUCAAUCUUUUGUGAAGGGUUCGAGUGAGAGCAUACCUGUCGGGACCCGAAAGAUGGUGAACUAUGCCUGAGCGGGGCGAAGCCAGAGGAAACUCUGGUGGAGGUCCGCAGCGAUACUGACGUGCAAAUCGUUCGUCUGACUUGGGUAUAGGGGCGAAAGGCUAAUCGAACCGUCUAGUAGCUGGUUCCCUCCGAAGUAUCCCCCAGGAUAUCUAGAGCCCGAGGGCGAGUUCUAUCGGGUAAAGCCAAUGAUUAGAGGCAUCGGGGGCGCAACACCCUCGACCUAUUCUCAAAUUUUAAAUAGGUAGGACGGUGUGGCUGAUCUGUUGAGCCGUGCCAUGGAAUCGAGAGCUCCAAGUGGGCCAUUUUUGGAAAGCAGAAUUGGCGAUGCGGGAUGAACCGAAAGCUGGGUUACGGUGCCCAACUGCGCGCUAACCUAGACCCCACAAAGGCUGUUGGACGAAUCUUGUUCCCCAAAAAAUCAGGCGUGUUCGGGACAUCAUAAGGACCUUCACCGAGA
rnacentral:ncRNA from 1 species